UACGGGGGGGGCAAGCGUUGUUCGGAAUUACUGGGCGUAAAGGGCUCGUAGGCGGCCAACUAAGUCGGAUGUGAAAUCCCCAGGCUUAACCUGGGAACUGCAUCCGAUACUGGAUGGCUUGAAUCCGGGAGAGGGAUGCAGAAUUCCAGGUGUAGCGGUGAAAUGCGUAGAUAUCAGGAGGAACACCGGUGGCGAAGGCGGCUUUCUGGACAGAUACCGACGCUGAGGCACGAAAGCUAGGGGAGCAAACAGG
rnacentral:rRNA from 1 species